GAAGUUUGCUCCACAGAGUCUGCCGGACCUCCUGAGAAGGCCACCAAGACAGGAGAGAGGGAACAGCACCCCAGUGACCAGACAGUGGACAACCCACCGACGUGUUUGAAGGCUGUUGAGAGCUUCCCAUUCAUGGCAACCUAGAUUUCAGAGAGGUGCUGAGACGAGAUCCCUGUUGGCCUAAGUACUUUUACCAACUGUAUAAUACCCCACCGGAGGAUGAUAUCAACUUUUCCAUACAAAUGUGGGUUUGCAGGAGCCAUCCUAUGCUCUGGAUAGAGUGUAGCCUCGUGGUGUCAAAGCCUCUGCAGCCAGAUUCUGUGGGGUUGAGUUGCAAGUCUGCCCCUCAUUAGCUGGGAAACCUCAGUGGCUCCAGGCACAGCUGGAAAAAGCGGGCUCCUCUUUUCCCAUCCAUCACGGCCUCUGAUCUGUCCUGCUCCCUCAGUCUCAUCCUUAAUAUCGCUCCCCUCACCUGCACAGGAUCUUUGUGAUUACUUCGAGCCCAUCUGGAUAAUCCAGGAUAAUCGUCCUAUUUCCAGGUCAGCUGGAAGGUUAAAGGCAAGUGAUCCAGAACUGGAAUGGCAGCUCCACACAUUGCCUAGAAGAAGAGACCCAGCCUCCUGUUCUCUUUCUGACACAUCACCCUGAGUGUGUGGUUGCCAUUCUUCAAUUGGGCUCAUGGUCACAAUUUGGCUGCAGGAGCUCCAGGUAUCACAUUUACAUCCUCAACAAAAACAGAAGAGGAAGAGGAGGAAGGCAGACCUCAACGUGCAAUUCAGUCUGCUCCCUUUAACAAGUUGCUCAAAAAGCACACCCAUGACUCCAGCUGAUGUCUCCUGGGAAGACAGACUAUUUCUGGCUGCAAAGGAAGACAGAAACAGUUACUAUUAUUUUUUAAAACCGGAACAUAACUGGCAGAAAAACAGAGCUCCCCUAAUAAUAAUGACAAAGAGCAAGGUUGCUGUGUAAGCCACGGGAAACCACUAUAGCAACCAGCAGAUAGUAAGCACUUACCAGGCGUCAGGCACCAGGCUGAGAACUUGACCUGCAGUAUCUCAUGUAAUUCUCAGAACUGCCGUGUGAGGCACACGCCUACCGUUUCCAUCUUACGGUGGAGGAUGGUGAGGCACACGGAAGUUAAGUAACUUGGCCAAGAUCCUACAUCCAAUAAGGGCUGAAACCGGGAUUUUAACUCGUACACUCAGGUACUAGAGCUUACCCCCUCACUCAUUUGAUCAUGCCUUUACGGUGAAGACUGCAAAGUAAAUUACAUU